rnacentral:lncRNA from 1 species
CUUGUCACCUUAACUCCCAGUUUGCAGUGGAAUCUAUCCCAAAUUGUAUAUCUCAGACAGGUUUUAAGUUCCUGGAACUUGAAACCUCACUUGAAACAUGUUGCCUCACCAUUAAUCAAGAGGACACUUCUCCCUGCCUGCCUUUCAAAGCUUCACUUUCUGCAUAAUUUAGGUUUGCGUAUCAAUAUCCAAAUGCACCAAGGUGUGGCGCUCAGCGAGAGAGAUGUGGGGCUGUUGGAGAGAAGACCUUCAAGAAUCGAGGAGCCUCCCAAAGUGCUGGGAUUAUGAGCAUAAGCCAUGGUGCCAGGCUCCCCAGGGAAGUUAGGAAGUCUGGAGACGUUCACACAGCUGGAUUCCUCUGCUAUGACACAAACCAACGGUGUGCGGCAUCUACCUCAGCCAUUCCUCUUGGCCC